rnacentral:rRNA from 1 species
GACGGAGGAUGCAAGCGUUAUCCGGAAUGAUUGGGCGUAAAGCGUCCGCAGGUGGCAGUUCAAGUCUGCUGUCAAAGACCGGGGCUUAACUUCGGAAAGGCAGUGGAAACUGAACAGCUAGAGUAUGGUAGGGGCAGAGGGAAUUCCUGGUGUAGCGGUGAAAUGCGUAGAUAUCAGGAGGAACACCUGUGGCGAAAGCGGCUCACUGGACCACAACUGACGCUGAGGCGCGAAAGCUAGGGGAGCAAACAGG